AGGCACUGUCGAGAUUCGAAUUCCCUGUUUACUAGACAGGCGCUUUAACCAACUAAGCCACACCGCC